rnacentral:rRNA from 1 species
GUGACGAGUUUUUCGGCGUCAACCCGAAGAGCGUAGUGAAAGCGUUUGCCGUUCGUUUGUCUUCGGACAGGCGUGACGUACAUUGCACUAGCAGAGAUGAUGGUAGCCGCGACCGGUUGCUCGCAAUCUCGGGGUGGUCUCGUUUUCGGAUUUCGGUCCGAAAGAGCCAUACUCGUAGGUCACACGCUAAGCCCCGAAAGAUGGUGAACUAUGCCUGACAAGGACGAAGUCUGGGGAAACCCUGAUGGAGGUCCGUAACGCUUCUGACGUGCAAAUCGAUCGGCAUAGUCGGGUAUAGGGGCGAAAGACCAAUCGAACCAUCUAGUAGCUGGUUCCUUUCGAAGUUUCCUUCAGGAUAGCUAGACGUGAUCAGUAACGCGUGCCUCGCGCACGCUCUACGUAGUCACAUGCGGUAAAGCGAAUGAUUAGAAGUAUUGGGGCCGAAACGGCUUCAACUUAUUCUCAAACUUUCAAUGUGUGUGCCCCGUGGGCUUUCAUAAACGCGUCUUUCGAGACCGAAGCUCCGGACAGAUAUAACACGUCUAAGUGGGCCAUUUUUGGUAAGCAGAACUGGCGAUGUGGGAUGAACCAAGCAACAAGUUAAAGUGCCUAAGCCGACGCUUAUGAGAUACCAAAAAAGGCGUUAGUAACUAAAGACAGCAGGACGGUGGCCAUGGAAGUCGGAA